GAUUCUGUAGCUCAGUUGGUUAGAGGGCUGCACCGGAAUCGCAGGGCCGCAGGUUCAAUUUCUGCCAGGGACC
rnacentral:tRNA from 1 species